rnacentral:rRNA from 1 species
AGUGAACGCUGGCGGCAUGCCUAACACAUGCAAGUCGAACGGCAGCACAGUGAGAGCUUGCUCUUACGGGUGGCGAGUGGCGGACGGGUGACGAAUAUAUCGGAUUCUUCUUUUUCGGGGGGGAUAACGUAGGGAAACUUACGCUAACACCGCAUAUGACCUACGGGUGAGAGCAGGGGAUCUUUGAGCCUUGUGCGAUUGUAUGAGCCGAGGUCGGAUUAGCUAGUUGGCGGGGUAAAGGCACAGCAAGGCGACGAUCCGAAGCUGGUCUGAGAGGAUGGUCCGCUACACUGUAUGAGAGACAGGUCACAGACUCCUACGGGAGGCAGCAGUGGAGAAUAUUAGACAAUGGGGGAGUGCGUGAUCUAGCAAUACCGCGUGAGUGAAGAAGCCCUUCUGCUUGUAAAGCCCUGUUGUUGGGAAAGAAAUGCAGCAGGUUAAUACCCCGUUGUUCUGACGGUACCGAAAGAAUAAGCACCGGCUAACUUCGUG